rnacentral:pre_miRNA from 1 species
GGCACAAACUUGAAGUAGAAUAGUUGGGUAUGGUCAGCUGAUCCUACUAAUCUACUCUGCUUCAAGUUUGAGCUC